rnacentral:rRNA from 1 species
GUGAGGAAUAUUGGUCAAUGGACGAGAGUCUGAACCAGCCAAGUCGCGUGAAGGAAGACGGUUCUAUGAAUUGUAAACUUCUUUUGUGCAGGAAUAAAGUGGGUUACGUGUAACCUUUUGUAUGUACUGUACGAAUAAGGAUCGGCUAACUCCGUGCCAGCAGCCGCGGUAAUACGGAGGAUCCGAGCGUUAUCCGGAUUUAUUGGGUUUAAAGGGUGCGUAGGUGGAUUGAUAAGUCAGCGGUGAAAGUUUGCAGCUUAACUGUAAAAUUGCCGUUGAAACUGUCGGUCUUGAGUGCAAAUGAGGUAGGCGGAAUGUGUUGUGUAGCGGUGAAAUGCUUAGAUAUAACACAGAACUCCGAUUGCGAAGGCAGCUUACUGGGAUGCAACUGACACUGAUGCACGAAAGCGUGGGUAUCAAACUGGAUUAGAAACCCUUGUAGUCC